AUGAACGCUGGCGGCGUGCCUAAUACAUGCAAGUCGAGCGAAUGGAUUGAGAGCUUGCUCUCAAGAAGUUAGCGGCGGACGGGUGAGUAACACGUGGGUAACCUGCCCAUAAGACUGGGAUAACUCCGGGAAACCGGGGCUAAUACGCGGAUAAUAUUUUGAACUGCAUGGUUCGAAAUUGAAAGGCGGCUUCGGCUGUCACUUAUGGAUGGACCCGCGUCGCAUUAGCUAGUUGGUGAGGUAACGGCUCACCAAGGCAACGAUGCGUAGCCGACCUGAGAGGGUGAUCGGCCACACUGGGACUGAGACACGGCCCAGACUCCUACGGGAGGCAGCAGUAGGGAAUCUUCCGCAAUGGACGAAAGUCUGACGGAGCAACGCCGCGUGAGUGAUGAAGGCUUUCGGGUCGUAAACUCUGUUGUUAGGGAAGAACAAGUGCUAGUUGAAUAAGCUGGCACCUUGACGGUACCUAACCAGAAAGCCACGGCUAACUACGUGCCAGCAGCCGCGGUAAUACGUAGGUGGCAAGCGUUAUCCGGAAUUAUUGGGCGUAAAGCGCGCGCAGGUGGUUUCUUAAGUCUGAUGUGAAAGCCCACGGCUCAACCGUGGAGGGUCAUUGGAACUGGGAGACUUGAGUGCAGAAGAGGAAAGUGGAAUUCCAUGUGUAGCGGUGAAAUGCGUAGAGAUAUGGAGGAACACCAGUGGCGAAGGCGACUUUCUGGUCUGUAACUGACACUGAGGCGCGAAAGCGUGGGAGCAAACAGGAUUAGAUACCCUGGUAGUCCACGCCGUAAACGAUGAGUGCUAAGUGUUAGAGGGUUUCCGCCCUUUAGUGCUGAAGUUAACGCAUUAAGCACUCCGCCUGGGGAGUACGGCCGCAAGGCUGAAACUCAAAGGAAUUGACGGGGGCCCGCACAAGCGGUGGAGCAUGUGGUUUAAUCCGAAGCAACGCGAAGAACCUUACCAGGUCUUGACAUCCUCUGAAAACCCUAGAGAUAGGGCUUCUCCUUCGGGAGCAGAGUGACAGGUGGUGCAUGGUUGUCGUCAGCUCGUGUCGUGAGAUGUUGGGUUAAGUCCCGCAACGAGCGCAACCCUUGAUCUUAGUUGCCAUCAUUAAGUUGGGCACUCUAAGGUGACUGCCGGUGACAAACCGGAGGAAGGUGGGGAUGACGUCAAAUCAUCAUGCCCCUUAUGACCUGGGCUACACACGUGCUACAAUGGACGGUACAAAGAGCUGCAAGGACCGCGAGGUGGAGCUAAUCUCAUAAAACCGUUCUCAGUUCGGAUUGUAGGCUGCAACUCGCCUACAUGAAGCUGGAAUCGCUAGUAAUCGCGGAUCAGCAUGCCGCGGUGAAUACGUUCCCGGGCCUUGUACACACCGCCCGUCACACCACGAGAGUUUGUAACACCCGAAGUCGGUGGGGUAACCUUUUUUGGAGCCAGCCGCCUAAGGUGGGACAGAUGAUUGGGGUG
rnacentral:rRNA from 1 species